rnacentral:rRNA from 1 species
UACGUAGGGUGCGAGCGUUAAUCGGAUUUACUGGGCGUAAAGCGUGCGCAGGCGGCCCGUUAAGACAGGUGUGAAAUCCCUGGGCUCAACCUAGGAAUUGCGCUUGUGACUGGCGGGCUCGAGUACGGUAGAGGGGGGUGGAAUUCCUGGUGUAGCAGUGAAAUGCGUAGAUAUCGGGAGGAAGGCCGGUGGCGAAGGCGGCCUCCUGGGCCUGCACUGACGCUGAGGCGCGAAAGCGUGGGGAGCAAACAGG